UAGAGGCCGAACGUUCUUGGGGAUUGGCCACUCUGGCGAAAGGACGUGGGGCUGGCGGAGCAAGUUCGCAGGCUGCUCCAGCUGGGUGGAGGGUGGGCUCUUCUCCGCGGUUCUCCUGUCAGUCAUUGGCUCCCUGCGGUUUCCUUGGGGACGUGGCGCCGCCGCCCGCCCAAGGUUUUUUCCGGCUGGUCUAAAGGCCUUGGGGAACCGCUCUGAACCCAGCGGGACGGUGCCAGGGGAGACUGCGGGACUCUCGACCCGCUGCAGACUUAGGAGAUGCCUGAGACAAGGAGACCCAUUUCUCAGGGCAAAAAGAAAAGGAGGUGACAGGCACUGAGACCACUGAAGGGAUCCCAUGGCUAGGAUCAGUUUUUCCUACCUCUGCCCAGCCUUCUGGUACUUCACUGUGCCCACAGUGAACCCAUUUCCCCGCCAGAGGGUGGCAUUCCUAGGACUCUUCUUCAUAUCCUGCCUCCUUUUACUUAUGUUAAUCAUGGACUUUCGACAUUGGGGUGCUUCAUUGCCACGAGAUAGGCAAUAUGAAAGGUGAGUCAACCUUAGAUCACUUUGAUCAGA